AAGCUUGAUUCCUACGGGAGGCAGCAGUGGGGAAUAUUGGACAAUGGGCGCAAGCCUGAUCCAGCAAUGCCGCGUGUGUGAAGAAGGCCUGCGGGUUGUAAAGCACUUUUAUCGGGGAGGAGAAGCGGAGCACGAACAAUGCUCGGUGGAGACGUUACCUGAUGAAUAAGCACCGGCUAACUCCGUGCCAGCAGCCGCGGUAAUA
rnacentral:rRNA from 1 species